rnacentral:rRNA from 1 species
ACAGCAGCAGCCGCGGGAAUACGUAGGUGGCAAGCGUUGUCCGGAAUUAUUGGGCGUAAAGGGCUCGCAGGCGGUUUCUUAAGUCUGAUGUGAAAGCCCCCGGCUCAACCGGGGAGGGUCAUUGGAAACUGGGAAACUUGAGUGCAGAAGAGGAGAGUGGAAUUCCACGUGUAGCGGUGAAAUGCGUAGAGAUGUGGAGGAACACAGUGGCGAAGGCGACUCUCUGGUCUGUAACUGACGCUGAGGAGCGAAAGCGUGGGGAGCGAACAGGAUUAGAUACCCGCGUAGUCCCUGUCUCUUAUACA